rnacentral:rRNA from 1 species
GACGAACGCUGGCGGCGUGCCUAAUACAUGCAAGUAGAACGCACAGUUUAUACCGUAGCUUGCUACACCAUAAACUGUGAGUUGCGAACGGGUGAGUAACGCGUAGGUAACCUGCCUGGUAGCGGGGGAUAACUAUUGGAAACGAUAGCUAAUACCGCAUAAUAUUGAUUAUUGCAUGAUAAUUGAUUGAAAGAUGCUAUUGCAUCACUACCAGAUGGACCUGCGUUGUAUUAGCUAGUAGGUGAGGUAACGGCUCACCUAGGCGACGAUACAUAGCCGACCUGAGAGGGUGAUCGGCGACACUGGGACUGAGACACGGCCCAGAAUCCUACGGGAGGCAGCAGUAGGGAAUCUUCGGCAAUGGACGAAAGUCUGACCGAGCAACGCCGCGUGAGUGAAGAAGGUUUUCGGAUCGUAAAGCUCUGUUGUAAGAGAAGAACGGGUGUGAGAGUGGAAAGUUCACACUGUGACGGUAUCUUACCAGAAAGGGACGGCUAACUACGUG